CACGUAGUUAGCCGUGGCUUAUUCAAGGGGUACCGUCUUCUGCUCUUCCCCCUUAAAAGAAGUUUACAACCCGAAAGCCUUCUUCCUUCACGCGGCGUUGCUGGGUCAGACUUGCGUCCAUUGCCCAAUAUUCCCCACUGCUGCCUCCCGUAGGAGUCUGGGCCGUAUCUCAGUCCCAAUGUGGCCGGCCAACCCCUCAGUCCGGCUACUGAUCGUCGCCUUGGUGGGCCGUUACCUCACCAACUAGCUAAUCAGACGCGAGGCCAUCUUCCAGCGAUAAAUCUUUGACAUUCAAACCAUGCGAUUCAAAUGUAUCAUGCGGUAUUAGCAGUCGUUUCCAACUGUUGUCCCCCUCUGGAAGGCAGGUUCCUCACGCGUUACUCACCAGUCCGCCACUAAGUGUUCCCAUCCAUUGUCCGAAAACUCUUUCAGGGCACUCCGUUCGACUUGCAUGUGUUAAGCACGCCGCAGCGUUCGUCCUGAGCCAGGAUCGAAACUCU
rnacentral:rRNA from 1 species